UUGCUAUUUGGGAUCGCAGCUGCUGCACU
rnacentral:sRNA from 1 species